UACGAAGGGGGGCGAGCGUUUGUUCGGAUUUACUGGGCGUAAAGGGCGCGUAGGCGGCCCCUCCUAGUCGCGUGUGAAAGCCCCGGGCUCAACCUGGGGAAUUGCGCGCGAAACGGGGGGGGCUUGAGUUCGGGGAGAGGAGCGUGGAAUUCCCAGUGUAGAGGUGAAAUGCGCAGAUAUCAGGAGGAACACCGGAUGGCGAAGG
rnacentral:rRNA from 1 species